rnacentral:rRNA from 1 species
UGGGGAAUAUUGGACAAUGGGCGCAAGCCUGAUCCAGCAAUACCGCGUGUGUGAAGAAGGCCUUAGGGUUGUAAAGCACUUUCAAUUGGGAGGAAAACCUGCCGGUCAAUACCCGGUAGCUGACAUACCUUA